CCUACGGGAGGCAGCAGUGGGGAAUAUUGGACAAUGGGCGAAAGCCUGAUCCAGCAAUGCCGCGUGAGUGAUGAAGGCCUUCGGGUCGUAAAGCUCUUUUACCAGGGAUGAUAAUGACAGUACCUGGAGAAUAAGCUCCGGCUAACUCCGUGCCAGCAGCCGCGGUAAUACGGAGGGAGCUAGCGUUGUUCGGAAUUACUGGGCGUAAAGAGUACGUAGGCGGUUAUUCAAGUCAGAGGUGAAAGCCCGGGGCUCAACCCCGGGAACUGCCUUUGAAACUAGAUAACUAGAGUCUUGGAGAGGUUAGUGGAAUUCCGAGUGUAGAGGUGAAAUUCGUAGAUAUUCGGAAGAACACCAGUGGCGAAGGCGACUAACUGGACAAGUACUGACGCUGAGGUACGAAAGCGUGGGGAGCAAACAGGAUUAGAUACCCUGGUAGUCCACGCCGUAAACGAUGAUAACUAGUUGUUCGGUCACUUGGUGACUGAGUGACGCAGCUAACGCAUUAAGUUAUCCGCCUGGGGAGUACGGUCGCAAGAUUAAAACCUCAAAGGAAUUGACGG
rnacentral:rRNA from 1 species